CUGUGUUCCUGACAGCCAGUACAGGUUUGUUUUCCAGUUUCUGGUCUGUUGAAUUUCCCCGAUGUUCCUCCAUGUUUGCCUGUUCCUGGUGGUGUUACUUGGGCUGGAAACACUGAAGACCCCGAACUCAAGCUGCUGGAAGGGCGGAGCCUCCCAACGCCACAUUACUGUGUCUCCAACAGACACCGUCAGCGAGACGGGACUCCACGCGUACCCCUGUCCAUAAGCUGGAACACACAGAUGAAUUCCACUCAGAUUUUGUUUGACACCUGCAAAAAGGGUUGAAACGUAAACCUACUGCUGUGGGAUCCCUGAUUGGUGACAGUGUGGCUCUUCUCCGAUGACUGCAAGACACACUGCAGCUCCUUCUCUGAGGCGGC